rnacentral:lncRNA from 10 species
CAAAUACUUUUCCUGUUAUAUGUAUUACAUACUGUAUCCUUACAAUAAAGUAAGCUAGAAAAAAGAAAACGUUAUUAUGAAAAUCAUAAAAAAGAGAGAAUAUGUUUACUGUAUUGUACUGUAUUUAUCAGUAUGAUAAGUUUGUGUUAUCUGUUGACAAGAUGAAUUAUGUAUCUGAAAUGGCUGGCAACCUCAGCUGCAGGACACUUUGAGGAGACGGCUGAUUGCAGAUCUAGGGCAGAGAAUGAAUAAGAUUUGUGGAGAGGGAAUUGGGUUCCUGGUUAAAGUGAUAGGAUUGUGGUAUCAUUUUGACAGGUCA